GGCAGUUCUUGGGUGAUGCACCCCGGAAUCGGGCUCCCUCCUCUCUGGUUCCUGGUGCGUCGCCCAAGAACCACC
rfam:Myotis davidii contig212849, whole genome shotgun sequence.